rnacentral:rRNA from 1 species
GAUGAACGCUGGCGGCGUGCCUAAUACAUGCAAGUCGAGCGAACAGGCGAGGAGCUUGCUCCUCUGACGUUAGCGGCGGACGGGUGAGUAACGCGUGGAUAACCUACCUAUAAGACUGGGAUAACUUCGGGAAACCGGAGCUAAUACCGGAUAAUAUAUUGAACCGCAUGGUUCAAUAGUGAAAGACGGUUUUGCUGUCACUUAGAGAUGGAUCCGCGCCGCAUUAGCUAGUUGGUAAGGUAACGGCUUACCAAGGCAACGAUGCGUAGCCGACCUGAGAGGGUGAUCGGCCACACUGGAACUGAGACACGGCCCAGACUCCUACGGGAGGCAGCAGUAGGGAAUCUUCCGCAAUGGGCGAAAGCCUGACGGAGCGACGCCGCGUGAGUGAUGAAGGUCUUCGGAUCGUAAAACUCUGUUAUUAGGGAAGAACAAAUGUGUAAGUAACUAUGCACGUCUUGACGGUACCUAAUCAGAAAGCCACGGCUAACUACGUG